rnacentral:rRNA from 1 species
GCCUUAGUAACGGCGAGUGAAGCGGCAACAGCUCAAAUUUGAAAUCUGGCCCUCGGGUCKGAAUUGUAAUUUGUAGAGGAUGAUUUUGGUGCGGUAUCUUCCGAGUUCCUUGGAACASGWCGCCUUAGAGGGUGAGAGCCCCGUACGGUUGAAUGCCUAGCCUUUGUAAAUCUCCUUCGACGAGUCGAGUAGUUUGGGAAUGCUGCUCUAAAUGGGAGGUAAAUUUCUUCUAAAGCUAAAUAUUGGCCAGAGACCGAUAGCGCACAAGUAGAGUGAUCGAAAGAUGAAAAGCACUUUGAAAAGAGGGUUAAAUAGCACGUGAAAUUGUUGAAAGGGAAGGAUUUGUGACCAGACUUUUUCUGGGCGGAUCAUCCGGGGUUCUCUCCGGGGCACUUUGCCCAGUAAAGCCCAGCAUCGAUUUUCGGCGGCGGAUAAAAGCAGUGGGAAUGUGGCUCUCUACGGGGAGUGUUAUAGCCCAUUGUAUAAUACGCUGCUGGGGAUCGAGGUACGCGCUUCUGCUAGGAUGCUGGCGUAAUGGUUAUCAAUCACCCGUCUUGAAACACGGACCAAGGAGUCGAACAUUUGUGCAAGUGUUUGGGUGUUAAACCCUCACGCGUAAUGAAAGUGAACGGAGGUGAGAGCCCGCAAGGGUGCAUCAUCGACCGAUCCUGAAGUUUUCGGAUGGAUUUGAGUAAGAGCAUAACUGUUCGGACCCGAAAGAUGGUGAACUAUGCGUGGAUAGGGUGAAGCCAGAGGAAACUCUGGUGGAGGCUCGCAGCGGUUCUGACGUGCAAAUCGAUCGUCAAAUCUGCGCAUGG